rnacentral:rRNA from 1 species
CGGCAGCGCGGGGCAACCUGGCGGCGAGUGGCGAACGGGUGAGUAAUAUAUCGGAACGUACCCUGGAGUGGGGGAUAACGUAGCGAAAGUUACGCUAAUACCGCAUACGAUCUAAGGAUGAAAGUGGGGGAUCGCAAGACCUCGUGCUCCUGGAGCGGCCGAUAUCUGAUUAGCUAGUUGGUGGGGUAAAGGCCCACCAAGGCUUGGACGGGUAGCUGGUCUGAGAGGACGACCAGCCACACUGGAACUGAGACACGGUCCAGACACCUACGGGUGGCAGCAGUCGAGGAUUUUUCUCAAUGGGGGAAACCCUGAAGGAGCGACGCCGCGUGAGGGAUGAAGGUCUUCGGAUUGUAAACCUCUGUCAUCUGGGAACAAAGCGCUCCACCUAACACGUGGAUUGUUGAUAGUACCGGAAGAGGAAGCAGUGGCUAACUCUGUGCCAGCAGCCGCGGUAAUACAGAGACUGCAAGCGUUGUUCGGAUUCAUUGGGCGUAAAGGGUGCGCAGGCGGCUCGUUAAGUCGGAUGUGAAAUCUCACAGCCUAACUGUGAUAGGUCAUUCGAAACUGGCGGGCUUGAGGACUGGAGAGGAGACUGGAAUAGUCGGUGUAGCGGUGAAAUGCGUAGAGAUCGACUAGAACACCGGUGGCGAAGGCGAGUCU